AUUGAACGCUGGCGGCAUGCUUUACACAUGCAAGUCGAACGGCAGCGCGGGCUUCGGCCUGGCGGCGAGUGGCGAACGGGUGAGUAGUACAUCGGAACGUGCCCAGUAGUGGGGGAUAGCUCGGCGAAAGCCGGAUUAAUACCGCAUACGACCUGAGGGUGAAAGCGGGGGAUCUUCGGACCUCGCGCGAUUGGAGCGGCCGAUGGCAGAUUAGCUAGUUGGUGGGGUAAAGGCCUACCAAGGCGACGAUCUGUAGCUGGUCUGAGAGGACGACCAGCCACACUGGGACUGAGACACGGCCCAGACUCCUACGGGAGGCAGCAGUGGGGAAUUUUGGACAAUGGGCGAAAGCCUGAUCCAGCAAUGCCGCGUGUGUGAUGAAGGCCUUCGGGUUGUAAAGCACUUUUGGCGGGAACGAAAAGGACUGUGCCAAUACCACGGUUCGAUGACGGUACCCGCAGAAUAAGCACCGGCUAACUACGUG
rnacentral:rRNA from 1 species